rnacentral:rRNA from 1 species
UAGAUCCUGAAACCGCAUGCAUACAAACAGUGGGAGCCUCCUUGUGGGGUGACUGCGUACCUUUUGUAUAAUGGGUCAGCGACUUACGUUGUGUUGCGAGCUUAACCGAAUAGGGGAGGCGUAGCGAAAGCGAGUCCGAAUAGGGCGUUUAGUAGCACGGCGUAGACCCGAAACCGGAUGAUCUAUCCAUGGCCAGGAUGAAGGUGCCGUAACAGGUACUGGAGGUCCGAACCCACUAAUUUGAAAAAUUAGGGGAUGAGCUGUGGAUAGGGGUGAAAGGCUAAACAAAUCCGGAAAUAGCUGGUUCUCCCCAAAAAACUAUUUAGGUAGUGCGUCAUGUAUCACUUGCGGGGGUAAAGCACUGUUAUGGCUAGGGGGUCAUCGCGACUUACCAAACCAUGGCAAACUCUGAAUACCGCAAAGUGCGAGCAUGGCAGACAGACAGUGGGUGCUAACGUCCAUUGUCAAGAGGGAAACAACCCAGACCGCCAGCUAAGGUCCCCUAGACACAGUUAAGUGGGAAACGAAGUGGGAAGGCAUAGACAGCUAGGAGGUUGGCUUAGGAGCAGCCAUCCUUUAAAGAAAGCGUAAUAGCUCACUAGUCGAGUCGUCCUGCGCGGAAGAUGUAACGGGGCUCAAACUGUGCACCGAAGCUGCGGAUAUCGAAAGAUAUGGUAGGGGAGCGUUCUGUAGGUCUGUGAAGGUGUCUUGUAAAGGAUGCUGGAGAUAUCAGAAGUGCGAAUGCUGACAUGAGUAGCGAUAAAGGGCGUGAGAAGCGCCCUCGCCGAAAGCCCAAGGUUUCCUACGCAACGUUCAUCGGCGUAGGGUGAGUCGGCUCCUAAGGCGAGGCAGAAAUGCGUAGUCGAUGGGAAACAGGUCAAUAUUCCUGUACCGAUUCUAGAUGCGAUGUGGGGACGGAGAAGGUUAGGUCAGCCGGGUGUUGGACGUCCCGGUUUAAGCGUGUAGGCGUGCCCCUUAGGCAAAUCCGGGGGGCUGAGCUGAGGCGUGAUGACGAGGAACCACGGUUCCGAAGUGAUUGAUACCAAGCUUCCAGGAAAAGCCACUAAGCUUCAGUCUAGAGUUGACCGUACCGCAAACCGACACAGGUGGGCAGGAUGAAAAUUCUAAGGCGCUUGAGAGAACUCAGGAGAAGGAACUCGGCAAAUUAACACCGUAACUUCGGGAGAAGGUGUGCCCCGGUAGCGUGUAGAGACUUGCUCUCGAAGCGCGAUGGGGUUGCAGUGAAAUGGUGGCUGCGACUGUUUAAUAAAAACACAGCACUCUGCAAACACGAAAGUGGACGUAUAGGGUGUGACGCCUGCCCGGUGCCGGAAGGUUAAGUGAUGGGGUGCAAGCUCUUGAUCGAAGCCCCGGUAAACGGCGGCCGUAACGAUAACGGUCCUAAGGUAGCGAAAUUCCUUGUCGGGUAAGUUCCGACCUGCGCGAAUGGCGUAACGAUGGCCACACUGUCUCCUCCUGGGACUCAGCGAAGUUGAAAUGUUUGUGAAGAUGCAAUCUACCCGCGGCUAGACGGAAAGACCCCAUGAACCUUUACUGUAGCUUUGCAUUGGACUUUGAACC